rnacentral:rRNA from 1 species
UACGGAGGGGGCGAGCGUUAUUCGGAAUUAUUGGGCGUAAAGGGCGCGUAGGCGGCUUGAUGUGUCAAAGGUGAAAUCCCUCGGCUCAACUGAGGAACUGCCUUUGAAACUGUCUGGCUUGAGGCCGGGAGAGGGUAGCGGAAUUCCCAGUGUAGCGGUGAAAUGCGUAGAUAUUGGGAGGAACACCAGUGGCGAAGGCGGCUACCUGGACUGGAACUGACGCUGAUGCGCGAAAGCGUGGGUAGCAAACAGG